rnacentral:lncRNA from 1 species
CAGGGCUGCAGUUUGUGACCUAGAAACGUAUAGGUCACAAUGAGCAGUGCUGCCUCUGGCCUUCCUCAUUCUGCUGUGGGACCCAGUGGUCCUUGCCUAGCCCGGGCAUCUUGACCCCACAGCUUCUCCACACAGGGACCACACUCCUUCUUCCACUUUACCCACUGCCCAGGACAGGGGCUCUUGAUGGUUUUUGGGCCUUGUGAUCAGCUCCUAAAAGUUCUCAAAGCCACUGCAAUGAGAUCAGAGAGCGGCUCCAGUGUGUGGGCAAUAAAGCUUUGACUGCUGCACUCCACAGGCCUGGGGUCGGGGAAAAGCUCAGCCUGCCGGAGUAGGACAGCGUGGAGAGUGGAGGCCCAAGCAGGAGGCUGAUUCUGGCUAGUGUAUCUCCAGGGAAGCAAUACCAGAGAAUCCUUCCCUAGUCUGAAAGGCCCUUUGAGGACCAGCAGGAAAAAGGGACCCAUCGAAGUAACACUGAAAUCCGAGGGAAUGAUUUUCAGGGCACAAAAGUAGGGUGGGACACAAGACUGGCAUUCCAGACACAGCCCAUCGGGCCAGGCUUUGGACAAGGAGAUGGAUUUCAUCUGAUUUCCCUUGACGGACGAGUUGUGUUCAGCAAACAGCCUGGUAUGCAGCUGUCACUCUGAUGCUGAGCUCUGACAGGCAUCGAUCAGGCUGCGGUGUGAGCAUGCAGAUACACACACAGGCCUCGUCAACAUCCGUGACUUGGAAGACAGCUCUGUCUGGGGCCAGGAUGACUACACCCCUUUCAGCAGAUGCUGCUAGGAGGAGAUUGCACCAAUGGGGAAAAGGAGACAGGAUGGAGCUUCUUCCAAAUACCCUUUCCUGGGCGGGAAGACAAGCUGUGGCAAUGAAGUGGAGUCACAAACGGGAGGAGAGACAGAUCCAACCUUGAUGGACAAGCUGCCAGAAUGGGAGCUUGUCCAGACAGCUGAGAUGGGCAUUAGGCUAAAGCUGGGGCACUGAGCUAGAGCUGGACAUAAAUGGCCUGUAAUCCCUAAGUCCAGGCAGAAGAAAUGGACCACUGGCAGCCCCAGCCUUCCGUCCUGCCUGGCAGCUCCUCUGGGCCUGAUGUUGCCCUCAGAAAGCCCUAGUGAGUUCCAGAGCACUCCAACUGAACUGAAGGUCAUCUGUCCCAAUGCUUCCUCCCCAAAGCAAAUGUCAUCCUUACACCUCUGAUAUCGGUGUCUAUCAACUUCGAUCUCCUUCAAAGAAGCCCAUUUCACUGUUAGAAAAGUCCUCUUUCAAGUGAAUGCCCUCUAACUUGAACUUCUUCCUACUGGUCUUAGUUUUGUACUCUGGAGCAAUUGGAAACACAUCUGAUCCAUUUUUUUUAUUUACCAGUGGAUGACUUUUAGAAAGUUCUCUGAACCCAAGUAUCACUUAGCUCAGAGGACUGGCUACCUUGAGGACUAAACGAGAGAAGCUCCGUCAAAGGAUGGGCACAGCACUUAGCAACAGUAAGUACACAAGUGUUCGUUCCUUGCCUCCUUCCACAUGACAACCAUUGGUAUUAUCAGUGUUUGUCCUUUCUUUCCAUCCCGAGUGAAUUCCAUUACCUGGACCUGGAUCCCAUAUUCUACACCACCCAGGUCCCUUCCUAGGAAUGCCCCUCCAUUUAUCAGGAUCCCUCUAAAAACACACUGCUUAGAACUGAACACAGUAUCUCAGAUGCUGUUUAGGCAGUGCAGAAUAAUUACCUCCUUUGAUCUAUAUGAUUUCUCUAUGAAUGCAAUUUUUAUCAGUCACUUCACACUGUUAGCUACAGUUGGUGGUAAAUAAAACCCUGUGGGGUAAUUUUCAUGUAAAUUGCUGUCAAGCUAGGUCACCUUCAUCUUGUAAUGGUGUAACUGAUUUUUGAACUUAAACAUGGGACUUGUGGCCAUCUCACAUUGGAAGCUGCAGCCCAUCUCUCUCUCUCUCAUACUUACAGGAGAUAUUGAACUUUGAUUUUUCUGUUCUAACAGUAAAAAGUCUUGUUCAUCUCAAAUGUCUUUCCUGGGCCUCUGCCUUUGUCUUCGGGAGGGUGGACUCAGGGGCAGAAACAUGAACUUGCACAGUGGCUCCAAGAUACCCCAUGGGAAGGAUUUGGUGACACUGUCCAGGAGGAAAACUCCUGCACUGGGAAGCUGUGGGAAGCUCUGGAAGCAAGCACACAGGGCAGAACCAGAGAAGGAGCAGUCAGCACUCCACCCUCUGGAAAGCCUGAGCCCCCUCCUUCCCAGUUACUGGAUCUGAGGCUUUCACUCAAGCAAGUGAAGCUACUGCCACUCGCAUGGGCCCAGCGGUGGAUUUGGUGGAGUCUACGGUCAAAAUGGAGACGACACAGAAAAGAGCUCAGAGGCAUCUAGGAAAUGAUGCUCUUUCUCAGCUCAGGAGGACUGACUUAGCCCUGCUGCCUCCCAGAGCCCUUCAUCACGGCAGCUCUGCCUAUCUUCUUGGAUUAACAAUGGUUCUGUCAAAUAAGUAUGGAAUGUUUCUGGAAAAGGCUGGCUGGGUCAUAGGUAGAUGGUUGUGGGAAUGCAGAGAACAGAGAUUUGAUUUGCAGGUGACAUGAUAAAUGGAAGAGAGAUUUGGGCCCUAAGACUGGGGGAAGAGAUGGAAGACCAAAAAAAUCAGCCAGAAACUUGAGGCUAAAGAGAGCUUUUCUCAAGUAUUGCUCCAAUGGCAAAAUUGCUGGGGAUCUGAGGGACAUGUGGAACUCAUUUGGGGUCUAGCUCCCAGAUUUUAUACCAGCAAUAAGGUCGAUAACUAAUGAAGUCCUUGCUACAGUGCAGUAACUGAACUGCUCACGUCAGUGAAGCUAAACUUGCAGAGGCUUUCUUUUCUCAGUAUCAGACUCAAUGCUGUGAGGAUAAGUUAUCUGGGGAAAAGAGGUAAGGAGAAGAACAAUGAGGUAUGGGAUUUCUACUGUACUUUUUUCUGUAGGACCUGCUGGAUCCUUCUGCCUCAAUUUGUCUGCAAAUGACAUAAACAUGCAUUAAAGAUGGCCAGAAAACAGUGACUUUUGCAAAUGCCUCCAUAGAGGCGUUCAAACAGAAAAACCAUCCACAUGCUAAAAAGAGGGAGGUGAGAAAGAAGAGGGAGAACUGGGUAAAUUAAGUGCUCCAUAUCUUGUCCUGUUAACGUCUCCUUUACACACACAUACAUGUAAGCGAGUGCUUGCAUGUCUGGUUCAGUCUUCUUACGAAAACCCAGUGGAAACAACCAUGCAGUCUCUGAGGCUACCUGCCUUAGACAGAGAAUGUCACUGAGGUCACUUCUGUUUUUAUUCAGAAUGCAGUGCUCUCUGAGAACCCUUUCCUUUGUGGGCGUUUACCCCAGCCUCCCCAAUUCCAGCCAAGCUUUCACUUGAUGAUUCUAAGACAUUAGCUCAGAAUCUCUUUUACCUUCACACUGCCCCAGAGAUCCACUGUACCCUGGACCUCAUCAUUCUAUCCUCUCCUGCAUACGUUGCUGGGACACUCUAGCCAAUUUCUUCCCAUAAUUCUUCAUAAUAUUAUCAUCCCCAUUUUAUGGAUGAGGACCCUGAAGGUUAAAGGAUUAAGUGGUUUAGGUCUAAGGCCAUGCAGCUGGUAAGUGACAGGGCCAGAAUUCAAACACAGGUCUCUGAUUCCAAGGUCCACGCUGCUGACCAUAAUGCCAUCCUGCUGCACUGACACUUCACUAGACUUGAA